AUGGCUUAAGUCGAGGGGCGUUAUGGUAAUUUCAGCAUGCUUAGUGGAUUUCCACUAAACCCCCUGCCAGGCUCCUCUUCAUCCUUAUCCCCUGCCACUCCUCCCCUCUGCAGCAUCAUACGUAGAGAGAGAGAGAUGGAGAAAAGAAGAGAAAAGAGAAGAAAAAGAAGAAGAAGAAGCAGAUGAAGAAGGAAAAAAAAAAGAAAGAAAGCAAGAUAGAAGUCCGAACACGAAAUUGACUACGUACAAACCAAAUUGGGGGUAAAAGAAACUCGCUGGCGAAGUCGGUUCGGCAAUCCGACGCUCCUACGCGAAGAUAUUGCCAAAAGAAGGUUUUCGACGUCGAAAGUCGCGAGCGCGGGUCGCGAUUCUCGGGAAAGCACUAGAAGCGAAUUUCUUCCAUUCCGGCAUCAAAGAAAGGUUGCACGUGAGCGGCGCAGCGGCGCGAGGACAGGACGUAGUUUCGUACAUAGCGCCCCACCACUGAGACCGAGAUAGCAAUACCCUGAAGUGGUCAAGGUCAAGUUCAGAGUUCAAGUGGAACGAAACAAAAGUGUAGUAAUUUGUUUAAGUUUUGUAGUAAUUCAAAAGCAUAUGUGGCUAUGUGAAUGUAAAGUAUUGUAAAUGUAAAAGAAUCUCUGAGAUGAAUGCUUGUAAUAGUAUAGUUUACACUUUAUGUUUUCGAUA